rnacentral:rRNA from 1 species
AGUGAACGCUGGCGGUAGGCCUAACACAUGCAAGUCGAACGGCAGCACAGUAAGAGCUUGCUCUUACGGGUGGCGAGUGGCGGACGGGUGAGGAAUACAUCGGAAUCUACUUUUUCGUGGGGGAUAACGAAGGGAAACUUACGCUAAUACCGCAUACGACCUACGGGUGAAAGCAGUGGAUCUUCGGACCUUGCGCGAUUGAAUGAGCCGAUGCCGGAUUAGCUAGUUGGCGGGGUAAAGGCCCACCAAGUCGACGAUCCGUAGCUGGUGUGAGAGGAUGAUCGGCCACACUAGAAGUUGGACACGGUCCAGGCUCCUACGGGAGGCAGCAGUGGGGAAUAGUGGACAGUGGUCGCAAGCCUGAUCCAGCCGUACGGCGUGGGUGAAGAAGGCCUUCGGGUUGUGAAGCCCUUUUGUUGGGAAAGAAAAGCAGCAGGUUGAUACCCCGCUGUUCUGACGGUACCCAAAAAAUAAGCACCGGCUAACUUCGUG